GACCGCUCAACUUUUUCUGUUGUAUUACUCCAAUAUCGCGAGCGCACACAGGGAAUUUGUGUUUUUGAUAUAUUUCGCGUCGUCUCCGCAGGUACAGAUAGACGUAAAAGAUAAACACUACUGUUAGUCCAAAUAAACU